UGCGUAGGGGGCGAGCGUUGUCCGGAAUCAUUGGGCGUAAAGCGCGUGUAGGCGGCCCGGUAAGUCCGCUGUGAAAGUCCAGGGCUCAACCCUGGGAUGCCGGUGGAUACUGUCGGGCUCGAGUCCGGAAGAGGCGAGUGGAAUUCCUGGUGUAGCGGUGAAAUGCGCAGAUAUCAGGAGGAACACCAAUGGCGAAGGCAGCUCGCUGGGACGUGACUGACGCUGAGACGCGAAAGCGUGGGGAUCAAACAGG
rnacentral:rRNA from 1 species